rnacentral:rRNA from 1 species
UACGUAGGGUGCGAGCGUUAAUCGGAAUUACUGGGCGUAAAGCGUGCGCAGGCGGUUGUGCAAGACAGGUGUGAAAUCCCCGGGCUUAACCUGGGAACUGCACUUGUGACUGCACGGCUAGAGUACGGUAGAGGGGGAUGGAAUUCCGGCGUGUAGCAGUGAAAUGCGUAGAGAUCCGGAAGAACACCGGAGGCGAAGGCGGCUUGCUGGGCGUGAUCGUGACGCUGAGGCGCGAAAGCGUGGGUAGCAAACAGG